AGGGUGAACUCGGGCAAAAAUAAACUCUUCGCAGCUGGUAUUGCUACGUGCUACCGCUAAAUAAUUUGCAGCAAAUUACCGAGGUGAUAAUUAGGUGCUAUUUUGGGUGAUUAUCUACUAAACCCCGUAUGGUCAAUGUAAAGCAGACAUUCGCACGAAGAUAUCGUUUAUUAAUAUAAUUUGUCGCCCACAAAAUAUAGAAAUGGGUGCAUAGAAUACUUUGGUCCCCGAAGGGCUAGGACUAACCACCACGGAAUAGGUGACGCGUCAGACGCGUAGAUAAAGCAGCACAAAUAUUUGAAUGUACAAAGAUAGGACUAAAGAUAACCAAACUGAUUUUCACAUGCAGAGGAUAAGACUAUACUGCAUACACACAUAAACAGAACAAUACCACAUUCAAUUACUGUAUCAUUGCAGUACGAUAUUCCUAAACAGUUAUUACAAAAGGAAAUCGAACAUUCAUAUACAAAACGUCAGUUAACUAAUUGGUAAAUGAAUACCUUCAUAUUUUCGUUUCUGCUGUACUUAUAUAAGUAUGCGUGUAUGUAUAAACACGAGUGAGUGUGAAGGUAUAGGGUAAAUGGAUUUUAAAAAAAAAUGAAAACUACUACCCCGUUUUUUCAAAAGUAAAAACAAAAUAUUGGAUGCGCCGUUCCAUACCCAGAACCCUCCCCAAGUGAUGUUGACCGUUGGACUGAUAAACAAAAACAAACCCGUAUGCUGGACUGGACCAUCCUGGGCGUGUGCUUUCUAAUUUCAUGAUAAAAAGUGGUUUUAAAAAACAGCUGGCGCACUAAAUAAUACUUUUUCAAGUCUGUUGAGAAGUAUACAUGAAAAUUCUACCGUUUCUGUUCUUGCAUUUUCAUUAAUAAUGUUUUGUUUUGGAUGUGAACUUAACGAGUUCGAUGCCAUGAAGAGAUUUUGGAUGGACGAUGAAGAAGCAAUUUCGUGUCUUCGUCGCCAUGGUAUUCUGCCUUCUAAAGUAACCUGUCCGCGAUGUCACAGCGACUGCGAAUUUCGUGAGGAACGUACCAUGUGGCAGUGCACAUCCAAAACGAAAGUUUCCGAGAGCAAAUUUCGUGCUUGUGGUUUUACCGUUGGCGACCGAGAAGGGACAGUUCUCGAGAAGACCGACAUCAGUCCCUGGAGACUUCUGCUCUUCUUUAAUCACUGGCUCUCAAGAUGCUGGUCGUGCGACCUAAUGUCGAGUAAUCUUCUUCUGACCAAUGACACCAUCGUUAACCUGAGCAGACUCUGCUUUGGGGUCAGUCAGUUUUGGUUCGAGAGUCAGAUUCCGGUGACACCAAUUGGAGGACCAGGUGCAGUUGUGGAAGUGGACAUUUGCCAGUUCGAUGACCUGACUGAAAUGGAAGGAUGGCGGCAGACUGUUCUUGGGGCAUAUGAACGCCAGACCAAGAAGCUAUUUUUUGUGAUUGUAGAAGACGUGGAGAAUAGGCUGCUCCCCGUCAUUCAGAGGUACAUUCAGAAAGGCUCGGUGCUAUACACCACAGACGACAGUGCCUUCUUGCCGCUCUCUGAACACGGGUAUGAGCAUCACGUUGCCAACGGUUCUGCAAACUGUGACAUUCACAUCAAAAGCAUUAAGAGUAAGUGGCAUGGCAUGAAGUCCUGGUGGCACCGGGGCAGGAAAGCCAAAAAGGAGAAAAAAUAUCAUCCAAAAUACCUCACACGGUACCUGUUUGUUAAUUAUUACGUGCCCUCUGAGCGUCUGCAUCACUUCCUUCGUUGCGUUGGUGAAUUUGCUCACGAAUCUGUACCUGAGAGAUAAUAGGCUACUACUUCAGACUGCUUCAACUAAACCCUUGCAAGUUUGGAUUAGCUAAAGGAUAACAGAAGAACAUCAUUUGUGAAGUGUGUAAAUCGUCACUCCAGUUGAGCAAGUUGGUGCAUUCAAGAUUUACCAGUUGAAGUUUGCUGAUACAAACAAAUCUUACCAAGAGGACUCAUGGUUUUAAGUUGUGUUGUACUUUAUGAUGAACAUCAUUAAUUAAUGUGUUUUACUAUUUUUGAAGGGAAACCUUUGGCAUAUUUUUACAAUACAGUAUGUGGUCUGAUUUUUGAGUGGGCAUAUAAUCGAAAGGCAAUUGAAGCACUCUUCUUUCAAUGGGGUCCCCUAGGUAAUUGCUCCAUUGUAAGAAGGGUACUACUCAAGGACAACACCCAAGUGAAAACGGGGUUCUCUACAUAAGUAAUUCAGUGGAAGCAAGAUCCUAUGGAUCCAGUAAUUGCUAUUUCUGUUUGUAGUUUAAUCAGAUCAAAGAGACAUACUUUUAGACUCAGAACCCUGGCCUGAAUAAUUUUUUCUUGAAUGUGGGGUGAAUUUAAAGCAGACACAAGUCUAGGAAGUCGGACAUGCAAGCAGUUAACAUUCUAUUGGGACUGAGAACGUGUUUGUGCUCUAGUCACUUUAUUUUCACUUGUUAGCUAAAACACAGUUGCUGUUGGUACAGGUGUAGCUGAUACAAUCAAAGAUUUUAAACUGAGAAUUUAAAAUUUGAUGGAUUAUCAAUUAACAAAACUGUUCUUUUUAAAAGACCUCCUAAAUUGUAGAUCGCUUUCGUUGUCUCACUGCAUAUGGUUUUUCUGGUACAGCACAAGUAAUUUUCUUUCACUGGACAAUUUAGUUUUGUUUACUAAAUAUGGUGACUGAGAGUCCCUGGAAGUACCAAAUUUGCUUUUCCAUUUAUUUAAUCCCAUGCUCAUGUGAAAAUAGUUAAAUUAAGUUACCUGAUAUUUACUCAGCUUUAGUUAUUAAAUGUUAACUCUUUUACUGUAUGCUUACCUGUCCAUAGGUAUAUGAUAUGAUAAGCUGGAAUACAUUGGCAGAUUGUUUUACAUAUUCAUGCGAGUCCUUUUUUUCAUGGAACCUUACCAGGCAAGACCUGCAUAAAUUUUAUUUUCUCUAAUUACUUUUUUCUGAUGAUCUGCUCACAACUUGCGCAGGAUGUGGCAACUAAUUUGUUUGUAUCCUUUGGUACAUCAUGCUUUGUGAAAGGUUGUAACUUCCAGAGUUUUGUCAACUCAUGUAGAAUCACAUAGGGAUGCUGAAUAAUUGGAGACUUCUCAGCAAAAGUGUAAAUAGUUAGUGAAGGUGAUAUAACAAGCCUUCAGAAAAGGAAAGACAUUGUAUUAUAAGAAGUGUAUGCAAGCCACAAGUUUUCACAUGAUGGGUCCACAUUAGUCAUUUUAAUUUUGCAGAUGUGCAUUAGUUGUAGUUUGAGAUUGCACAAGAAAGCCAUAAUUUUAUAGUUUGUUAAAGCCCUAAUACUAUUUGAAUACAGACAGUCCCCAGUUAUUGGCGAUGCGAUUUUACAGAGCUUGUUUAGCAACAAAAAUCACACCGAAUAUGUGUCGAUGUCCACUUCUCGGAGCUGAUACAUACCUAACAGAGGCGUCGAACUCCGGUUAUUGGCACCGAUAAGCCCAGAAAAUUGCUGAUUUUCAGUUAUUGGCUAUUUUCACUUAUUGUCACGCCACAGGAACAGAAUCCCAGGGACUGCCUGUAAUGGGAAGUCAGUUUGUCAGUCUUAAUAAUUGUUACUUUACUUACAUCUUACACCCCCAGUACCACAUUUUGUACCACCAAUACCACUGUGGUAAUAAGAACACUGCCAAGGCUUUGUCAAUAGCUUUUCUUAAAAAAACUUAUUUUUUGUGUGUUUAUCCUAGGUUUUAAAUCCAUUUCAGGCUGAUAAAAAUAAUGCUGAUUCAAAUAUAGUUGAAGAACUUAUAUACCAGCAAAAUGACUAAAAUUAAAGCAUUGUUUCAGCAAAUUGGCUAUGAAGCCUUCUGACCAAAGGAACAAGAUUAAUAUCCCCAUUUUUGGAAAGAAAUGAAAUUAUUAAUGUUAGCAUUCCUUUCUUCAUACCUGAUAGAGAGAAAGGAUUCAGUGUAGCCUUGCAACUCAACUAAGCAGUGGAAUAGAUUACAAAUCUGUAUAACGGGUGAUCUGAGGCUCUGUUUAUCAAAUAUUGAGCCUGGUAUCAUUAAACUGGCAAAAUCUAAUCUACCUCUAGGUAGUCAAUAAUUACGUUUCUUCUAUUGUUUUUUUUUUUGUAAGUUUUAAUUAAAUUAAAAAAAAAAAAAUUUUUUUGGGGGGGGCCUAUAGUAACUGUUUUAGUUGACAACCAAGUGAUCCAUUUUCUUGAAGUAAUAAUAAACGUGGAUGCAUUUCUUUGAGCAAAAUUAUUCCAUUAUUCAAAGUUUUAAUUUCCUUAUUGCACAAACAUACCACAAAGUUAAUAUCAAUACAGCUUCACUAUAUAAAUUAAUCAUCUUUAUUAGAGCACUUGCACUAUGGUGGAUGCCAGCCUCAGGAAAUAUCUAAUAAGUUGUGCUGGGAGGGGGGAGGGGGGGGGGGAAGGUUAAGAACCACUGCCCUAGAGAAAACCUGCUGAAAAGGUGGACUUGUAAAAUAAUAUAAUAUGACCAAGUGUAAACAUGUUUCAACAGGAGGAGUUUGCAAAAGUAAUAAGGUAACACAAAGUGAUAGGAAAACUACUUAAUGAUCGUGGAAUUGGAUCCAAUAUAUUAUUUAUAUUGCAAAUCCCAACCCUGUAACAAAUCUUGUCAGUACAAAUCCAGUGUAAUGUUUUUUCAGGCUGGAUAAGGAUUUGAACCUUGUGUUCAGUAAUACCUUAGUAAUACUGGUAAUACUAUAUUCUAAAUAUGCUUUCACAUUAUGUUUAACUGUAUACACACUUUCACAUGUUAUGCUUUUGUACCCACUGAUUUUCUCCUUUCUAGCCAAAUUUUGCUCAAUGGUUUAAGGCAGUGUGGAAUUUUUGUAUGUGGACUUUGCUCACUUUUGUUGGCUUUGGCUGUUAUUAUCAAGUUUGAACAGUUUUAAGUAACUAUAUACUGUAUACUCAAUAAGUUUUCAUUGUCUUCAAGUUACUGUAAUGAUAGAUUAGUAUGUAUGGCCAUCCAAAUCAUUUGUUUUUAAAAGGUAAUGUUAUAGAAAUUGCAAAAAGCAAGGAAAAAAAAGACACUGUGAACCAAUGUUCACAUAAUUUAAUAAAAUUGCGCAGUUUAGUAUAGUGCCAAAAGUCAACAAUGAUUUUUUAAUGGUAGUUUUGAUAUGCUGUGUACAUUUAUAUUAAAUUAAUAAUGAAA